rnacentral:rRNA from 1 species
GGGCGCGCUGAGGGGGCGAACGGGAGAGUAAUACAUCGGAACGUACCCAGGAGUGGGGGAUAACGUAGCGAAAGUUACGCUAAUACCGCAUAUUCUGUGAGCAGGAAAGCGGGGGAUCGCAAGACCUCGCGCUCUUGGAGCGGCCGAUGUCGGAUUAGCUAGUUGGUGAGGUAAAAGCUCACCAAGGCGACGAUCCGUAGCAGGUCUGAGAGGAUGAUCUGCCACACUGGGACUGAGACACGGCCCAGACUCCUACGGGAGGCAGCAGUGGGGAAUUUUGGACAAUGGGGGCAACCCUGAUCCAGCCAUGCCGCGUGAGUGAAGAAGGCCUUCGGGUUGUAAAGCUCUUUCGGCGGGGAAGAAAUGGCAACGGCUAAUAUCCGUUGUUGAUGACGGUACCCGCAUAAGAAGCACCGGCUAACUACGUGCCAGCAGCCGCGGUAAUACGUAGGGUGCGAGCGUUAAUCGGAAUUACUGGGCGUAAAGCGUGCGCAGGCGGUUUCGUAAGACAGACGUGAAAUCCCCGGGCUCAACCUGGGAACUGCGUUUGUGACUGCGAGGCUAGAGUACGGCAGAGGGGGGUAGAAUUCCACGUGUAGCAGUGAAAUGCGUAGAGAUGUGGAGGAAUACCGAUGGCGAAGCAGCCCCCUGGUUAGUACUGACGCUCAUGCACGAAAGCGUGGGGAGCAAACAGGAUAGAUACCCUGGUAGUCCACGCCCUAAACGAUGUCAACUAGGUGUUGGAAAGGUUAAACCUUUAGUACCGCAGCUAACGCGUGAAGUGGACGCCUGGGGAGUACGGCUGC